UACGUAGGGGGCAAGCGUUGUCCGGAAUCAUUGGGCGUAAAGCGCGCGUAGGUGGCCCGGUAAGUCCGCUGUAAAAGUCCAGGGCUCAACCCUGGAAAGCCGGUGGAUACUGUCGGGCUCGAGUCCGGAAGAGGCGAGUGGAAUUCCUGGUGUAGCGGUGGAAUGCGCAGGAUAUCAGGAGGAACACCGAUGGCGAAGGCAGCUCGCUGGGACGGUACUGACACUGAGGCGCGAAAGCGUGGGGAGCAAA
rnacentral:rRNA from 1 species